UACGUAGGCAGCAAGCGUUGUUCGGAAUUAUCUGGGCGUAAAGAGUACGUUAGGUGGUUGCCAAGUCCGAUGUAGAAUCUCCUGGCUUAACUGGGAGGGUGCGUUAGAUACUGGCGGGCUUGAGUGUGGGAGAGGAGAGCGGAAUUCCUGGUGUAGCGGUGAAAUGCGUAGAUAUCAGGAGGAACGCCUGUGGUGUAGACGGCUCUCUGGACCAUUACUGACACUGAGGUACGAAAGCGUGGGUAGCAAACAGG
rnacentral:rRNA from 1 species